UGGGGAAUAUUGGACAAUGGGCGAAAGCCUGAUCCAGCCAUGCCGCGUGUGUGAAGAAGGUCUUCGGAUUGUAAAGCACUUGAAGUUGGGAGGAAGGGCAGUAAGCGAAUACCUUGCUGUUUUGACGUUACCGACAGAAUAAGCACCGGCUAACUCUGUGCCAGCAGCCGCGGUAAUACAGAGGGUGCAAGCGUUAAUCGGAAUUACUGGGCGUAAAGCGCGCGUAGGUGGUUCGUUAAGUUGAAUGUGAAAGCCCCGGGCUCAACCUGGGAACUGCAUCCAAAACUGGCGAGCUAGAGUAGGGCAGAGGGUGGUGGAAUUUCCUGUGUAGCGGUGAAAUGCGUAGAUAUAGGAAGGAACACCAGUGGCGAAGGCGACCACCUGGGCUCAUACUGACACUGAGGUGCGAAAGCGUGGGGAGCAAACAGG
rnacentral:rRNA from 1 species